GAUUAUGGCUCAGGAUGAACGCUAGCUACAGGCUUAACACAUGCGAAGUCGGGGGGCAGCAUUGGAGUAGCAAUACUCAGAUGGCGACCGGCGCACGGGUGAGUAACACGUAUCCAACCUGCCGCUUACUCGGGGAUAGCCUUUCGAAAGAAAGAUUAAGUACCCGAUGGUAUAAAGAGUUCGCAUGUUCUCUUUAUUAAAGAAUUUCGGUAAGCGAUGGGGAUGCGUUCCAUUAGAUAGUUGGCGGGGUAACGGCCCACCAAGUCUACGAUGGAUAGGGGUUCUGAGAGGAAGGUCCCCCACAUUGGAACUGAGACACGGUCCAAACUCCUACGGGAGGCAGCAGUGAGGAAUAUUGGUCAAUGGACGAGAGUCUGAACCAGCCAAGUAGCGUGAAGGAUGACUGCCCUAUGGGUUGUAAACUUCUUUUAUAAGGGAAUAAAGUGAGGGACGUGUCCCUUUUUGUAUGUACCUUAUGAAUAAGGAUCGGCUAACUCCGUGCCAGCAGCUGC
rnacentral:rRNA from 1 species